GGCCCCUUAGCUCAGUUGGAUAGAGCACCUGCCUUCUAAGCAGGUUGUCGCAGGUUCGAAUCCUGCAGGGGUCG
rfam:Ensifer adhaerens OV14 chromosome 1 sequence.